rnacentral:rRNA from 1 species
UACAGGGGGGGCAAGCGUUGUUCGGAAUUACUGGGCGUAAAGGGCUCGUAGGCGGCCAACUAAGUCACACGUGAAAUCCCCAGGCUUAACCUGGGAACUGCGUGUGAUACUGGAUGGCUUGAAUCCGGGAGAGGGAUGCGGAAUUCCAGGUGUAGCGGUGAAAUUCGUAGAUAUUCGGAAGAACACCAGUGGCGAAGGCGGCUCACUGGCCCGUUACCGACGCUCAGGCGCGACAGCGUGGGGAGCAAACAGG